rnacentral:rRNA from 1 species
AGUGAACGCUGGCGGUAGGCCUAACACAUGCAAGUCGAACGGCAGCACAGUAAGAGCUUGCCCUUACGGGUGGCGAGUGGCGGACGGGUGAGGAAUACAUCGGAAUCUACUUUUUCGUGGGGGAUAACGUAGGGAAACUUACGCUAAUACCGCAUACGACCUACGGGUGAAAGCAGGGGAUCUUCGGACCUUGCGCGAUUGAAUGAGCCGAUGUCGGAUUAGCUAGUUGGCGGGGUAAAGGCCCACCAAGGCGACGAUCCGUAGCUGGUCUGAGGGGAUGAUCAGCCACACUGGAACUGAGACACGGUCCAGACUCCUACGGGAGGCAGCAGUGGGGAAUAUUGGACAAUGGGCGCAAGCCUGAUCCAGCCAUACCGCGUGGGUGAAGAAGGCCUUCGGGUUGUAAAGCCCUUUUGUUGGGAAAGAAAAGCAGCAGGUUAAUACCCCGCUGUUCUGACGGUACCCAAAGAAUAAGCACCGGCUAACUUCGUG